rnacentral:lncRNA from 1 species
CUCUUUUACAGCUGGGGUUUUAUGCCUAAUUGUGUUCUGGGGUCUUUUCUGCAGUGGUGCGGUGAUGUCCUUAAAAGGUGGCUAUUGCUAAAGUGGGGGGAGUUGUGGUGCUCUGCAAAAAAGAGACCUGAAGUGAGAGCAUAAGGAUGUAUAUCUUUACCUGGAUGUAUGGUUCUGUUUUGCGGAGCUGCAAGAAAUUAUUUUUCUUCCUUUCACAUAAUCACAGAAUUAUUUAGGCUGGAAAAGACCUUCAAGACCACUGAGUCCACACUUUGACCAAUCAGUACCUUAUCAACCAGGCCAUAGCACUGAAUCCACUCCAGUUGUUUCUUGAACACCUUUAGGGAUGGUGACUAGGUGGUCAAAUAGUUUACACAAACCCAGGAGACAGGCUGCAGCUAGAUGAUUUAGAUGUGGAGCUAGGUUUCAAAAGCUCCAAAAUUCAAUUACUUUUUCCAGCAGAUCUGGGCGUAAGUUUCAGUUUAUUAGGAAAGUAAAGUUCAGCUGGAAAAACUCCACAUGGAGAUCCAUUUCACAGCUUCAAAUGUGGGCAGUGGGAAACAGUUCUGGUGUCAGAUUUUGUCUCUCUUUCAGCAUAACUGAUUUUGUUUUUAUUUUAGUUGCUCAAGAGGAAAUUUAAAAUGCCACUGAACUGGUUGGCACAACAGUGCUGCAGUUUCUAAAGUCUCUUCUGAGUUCAUCUGCCAAAUGCAAUGAUGCACUGAACUUCAGGAAAAACUUCCAGAUGACAGUUUCCAAUCUCAACAGUUGCUAGUUGCAGGAAUGGCAGAACAGUUGGAGCAGUGAAGCUUUAAGCUAUUGUUCUUUUCUUUGGAGUAGCCUUGAAAGAAUGCACUCACAGACUUAGCAAGAAUGAACAGUUUUUUAACAGAUGAUUAAAAUUUAAUUUCUUUUUCACUGACAUCAAUCACCAAGAUAAGUAUCUUGAUUCUCAGCUGCUUGUAGUCAUUUGCAAAUAUGGAAGACUAUUUCCCCUCCGUCUGGAUGCGGCGUGGCGUGGCCUUUGGUCAAGUGUCCGGCUAGCAGGAGGGCGGCCAACACCCAACUGCAAAUGUGGGAGCACCCUGGCGUCAGUGGCCUUGGACUGUGCUCACUGUGGACAACAUUCACUGCUGAUGCCGACAAGAGAAA